rnacentral:misc_RNA from 1 species
GGCAUUUCCAGGAAAGUUAAACAGGGGUGUAAUGGUAAUUUCAACAGAUGAAGUUACAGAGAAGGAUCCCAGCCUUAUCCACUACAUUACACUCCACCAAACCUAAAAAUCUUUAUAAAAGCAGAUCAUAGUCCUCUCUUUCAACGAAACCAUAGGAACCGAUCACUGCCACCAUCGCCACCAACACCAACCGCCUCCAUCGCCACCCAUCAAAACUCAAAUAACACACACUCUCAGGGAACCCAGAAGAAAACCCGUCUUCAAUGGCCACCAGUAAGAGCUACUUUGCACGACAAAACUACCGAUUUCUGUCUGGCGACGAGGCCCUGCGCGCGCCACUCACGCCCGACUCCGCCUUUGAACUCGACGAGUCUGACAUUUAUAACAACUCAGUCACAACUCGUUCCUACUCGACCGAGUUUCUCAAAUCUCUACCGAGUUCCAGACUCACCAAGAAGUCCACAGCAACAGCAGCGGCGUUGACCAACAGCAGCGUCCCUGGAGACAGAGUCGUAGGGACUCCAUCGUCACUUCCGGUUAACAUACCGGACUGGUCGAAGAUAUUGAAAGAUGAGUACAGGGAGAGUCGUCGUGGGAGAGAUAUGGACAACGACGACGACGACGACGAUGACGACGAAGAUGAAGAUGAAGAUGUAGAUGAUGAUGGUGAUGAUGACAACGACGAUGAUGAAGAAACCCAGCCACCUUCUAAGAGGAAGAAAUGAAGAAAUAAGAAAAACAUUAUUCCCCCCUUUUUCUUCUUUAAGCUGGAUUGAAUUGAAGGAAUCUCAUUGACUGAGUCAAAAGGUUCAAACCAUUAGUUUUCAUAGAGCUUGAAAAACUAUUUCUUCUUGAUAAUGUGAACCCUCAUGAUAUCUUAUUUACCUGAAUUUUUUCUAGUUAUGUGGUCUCUUAUUUUAUUCUUUUGAUGAUAUUACCGUGGAGCAGGCAACAUGGAGUCUCUUAUUUUAUUCUUUUGAUGAUAUUACCGUGGAGCAGGCAACAUGGA